UACUGUAAACGUGCAAGUGGAGGAAUCCAGCUUCAGGACAAGAGGACCCGCGGGACGCAUUAAACUAAGUGUUUACUUUCAAGCACAAAUCAGUUGGACUCCUAUCAAACAAAGGAACUGCAAUUGAGUUGGGCACAGUUCUGUAGUGGUAGACGAAGGUCAUGUGUUUUACUCGAUAUUAUAUCUAAACACGGUUUCCGAGAUGACAAAUUGAGUUUAUCAACUGCGAGGAACGCCCGAUACUUCGAAAAGCUGAC